rnacentral:rRNA from 1 species
UAGGGAAUCUUCGGCAAUGGACGAAAGUCUGACCGAGCAACGCCGCGUGAGUGAAGAAGGUUUUCGGAUCGUAAAACUCUGUUGUUAGAGAAGAACAAGGACGUUAGUAACUGAACGUCCCCUGACGGUAUCUAACCAGAAAGCCACGGCUACCUCCUUCCAGCAGCCGCGGUAAUACGUAGGUGGCAAGCGUUGUUCGGAUUUAUUGGGCGUAAAGCGAGCGCAGGCGGUUUCUUAAGUCUGAUGUGAAAGACCCCGGCUCAACCGGGGAGGGUCAUUGGAAACUGGGAGACUUGAGUGCAGAAGAGGAGAGUGGAAUUCCAUGUGUAGCGGUGAAAUGCGUAGAUAUAUGGAGGAACACCAGUGGCGAAGGCGGCUCUCUGGUCUGUAACUGACGCUGAGGCUCGAAAGCGUGGGGAGCAAACAGG